rnacentral:rRNA from 1 species
UGAAUACGAGACGCUAAGGCGUCGAAGUAGUGUAUAUCAGACUUCCAAGAAAAGCUUGCACUGUCAUAGAUAAAAAAUGCCUGUACCAUAACCGACACAGGUGGGUAGGUAGAGUAUACUAAGGGGCGCGAGAUAACUCUCUCUAAGGAACUCGGCAAAAUAACUCCGUAACUCCGGGAGAAGGAGUGCCUUAUUUAUAAGGUUGCAAUAACAAGAUCCAAGCAACUGUUUAUCAAAAACACAGGUCUCCGCUAAGUCGUAAGACGAUGUAUGGGGGCUGACGCCUGCCCAGUGCCAAGGUUAAAGAAGUUGGUUAGCAAUUGCGAAGCUGAUAACUGAAGCCCUGGUGAACGGCGGCCGUAACAAUAACGGUCCUAAGGUAGCGAAAUUCCUUGUCGGGUAAGUUCCGACCCGCACGAAAGGCGUAAUGAUUUGGAUACUGUCUCGGAGAGGGGCUCGGUGAAAUAGACUUGUCUGUGAAGAUGCGGACUACCCGCACCAGGACAGAAAGACCCUAUGAAGCUUUACUGUAACUUGAAAUUGAAAUUGGACUUUAUUCGCGCAGCAUAGGUGGGAGGCGUUGAUUAUAAUCUUGCGGGAUUAUUGGAGCCAUCAGUGAGAUACCACUCUUGUAAUGUUAGAUUUCUAACUUUGAACCAUUAUCUGGUCAAAGAACAGUUUCAGGCGGGCAGUUUGACUGGGGCGGUCGCCUCCUAAAUGGUAACGGAGGCGUACAAAGGUUUCCUCUGAACGGUUAGAAAUCGUAUCUAGAGUGUAAAGGCAUAAGGAAGCUUGACUGUGAGACCUACAAGUCGAGCAGGGACGAAAGUCGGUCUUAGUGAUCUGACGGUACUGAGUGGAAAGGCCGUCACCCAACGGAUAAAAGUUACUCUAGGAUAACAGGCUGAUCUCCCCCAAGAGUUCACAUCGACGGGGAGGUUUGGCACCUCGAUGUCGGCUCAUCGCAUCCUGGGGCGGUAGUACGUCCCAAGGGUUGGGCUGUUCGCCCAUGAAAGCGGUACGCGAGCUGGGUUCAGAACGUCGUGAGACAGUUCGGUCCAUAUCCGGUGUAGGCGUUAGAAUAUUGAGAGGAGCCUUCUUUAGUACGAGAGGACCGAGAAGGACAUACCUCUGGUGUACCAGUUAUCGUGCCAACGGUAAACGCUGGGUAGCUAUGUAUGGAGUGGAUAACCGCUGAAAGCAUCUAAGUGGGAAGCCCACCUCAAGAUAAG